rnacentral:rRNA from 1 species
UAUAUAUAUCUAUACAUAUAUAUAUAUAUAUAUAUAUAUAUAUAUAUAUAUGUUUUAAUUAUGGUAGCCCACAAAAUAUUGGGACAUGAAAAAAUACAACUCUGUUCCGCAGAGUAUCUGUUGACAUUAUAGCUGCGCAGGAACUUUGUUGACUCUAGAGAACCUUGGGCAAAUCGCACAUCCCGUGGCGGCGACUUUGCAUGCGGAUGUCAUCCAUAUCAACUUUCGAUGCUAGUUUCUGCGCCUACCAUGAUGACCAUUGGUAAUGGGGAAUCAGGGUUCCAUUCAGUACAGGGACCCUGAGAAAUGGCUACCACAUGCAAGGAAGGCAGCAGGCGCGCAAAUGACCCACUCCAGACGCGGGAAGUUAGUGA